UCAAUAAGCGGAGGAAAAGAAACCAACAGGGAUUGCCCUAGUAACGGCGAGUGAAGCGGCAACAGCUCAAAUUUUGAAAUCUGGCGUCUUCGGCGUCCGAGUUGUAAUUUGCAGAGGGCGCUUUGGCAUUGGCAGCGGUCCAAGUUCCUUGGAACAGGACGUCACAGAGGGUGAGAAUCCCGUACGUGGUCGCUAGCCUUUACCGUGUAAAGCCCCUUCGACGAGUCGAGUUGUUUGGGAAUGCAGCUCUAAAUGGGAGGUAAAUUUCUUCUAAAGCUAAAUACUGGCCAGAGACCGAUAGCGCACAAGUAGAGUGAUCGAAAGAUGAAAAGCACUUUGGAAAGAGAGUUAAAAAGCACGUGAAAUUGUUGAAAGGGAAGCGCUUGCAGCCAGACUUGCCUGUAGUUGCUCAUCCGGGUUUUUACCCGGUGCACUCUUCUAUAGGCAGGCCAGCAUCAGUUUGGGCGGUUGGAUAAAGGUCUCUGUCAUGUACCUCUCUUCGGGGAGAACUUAUAGGGGAGACGACAUGCAACCAGCCUGGACUGAGGUCCGCGCAUCUGCUAGGAUGCUGGCGUAAUGGCUGUAAGCGGCCCGUCUUGAAACACGGACCAAGGAGUCUAACAUCUAUGCGAGUGUUUGGGUGUCAAGCCCGAGCGCGUAAUGAAAGUGAACGGAGGUGGGAACCUUUCGGGGUGCACCAUCGACCGAUCCUGAUGUCUUCGGAUGGAUUUGAGUAAGAGCAUAGCUGUUGGGACCCGAAAGAUGGUGAACUAUGCUUGAAUAGGGUGAAGCCAGAGGAAACUCUGGUGGAGGCUCGCAGCGGUUCUGACGUGCAAAUCGAUCGUCAAAUUUGGGCAUAGGGGCGAAAGA
rnacentral:sRNA from 1 species